rnacentral:lncRNA from 1 species
CUAGAUGUUGAUGUAGUCUGUUGGUGUUGCUGACUAGGAAUGAAGGCUUAGUGGUCAUUUUGGAGUGUUAGGGAUGAUGGCUGUUGAGACAACACUUUGAUUGUUAUACUUGCCUUGGCCAAAGCUUUCCUAAGACUCUUGCUGGUCGUUGUUGACACUUGCUAACACCACUUGAAUACUAGGUUGUCAUCCCCAGCAUGGCACUAGAGUGUACUAUGGUAUUUAUAUGCACACAAAUAAAUCCGCAAGCGCACGGAUACCGUUGUAGCUUUUACCCAGUUAAAGGUUUUAUCAUAUCCACAGGGAAACGGGAGAACUAAUCUACGCUCUAACUUAACCUAGAUAGAUAGGUAGGUGUAGAUAGGAAAGAUGGUAGAAUUGAAUAAGAACAAUAUUAAAGGUAAGAUAACAAUGGGUGGUAAUAUGGGAAUAGAGAGUAGAGCAAUCUAGUAUAUGGGCGAUGGUAGGAGAAU